rnacentral:rRNA from 1 species
UACGUAGGGCGCAAGCGUUGUCCGGAAUUAUUGGGCGUAAAGAGCUCGUAGGCGGUUUGUCGCGUCUGCUGUGAAAGCCCGGGGCUCAACCCCGGGUCUGCAGUGGGUACGGGCAGACUAGAGUGCAGUAGGGGAGACUGGAAUUCCUGGUGUAGCGGUGAAAUGCGCAGAUAUCAGGAGGAACACCGAUGGCGAAGGCAGGUCUCUGGGCUGUAACUGACGCUGAGGCGCGAAAGCGUGGGGAGCAAACAGG